UGGUAGUNCACGCCCUAAACGAUGUCGAUUAGCUGUUGGGCAGCAUGACUGCUUAGUAGCGAAGCUAACGCGUGAAAUCGACCGCCUGGGGAGUACGGUCGCAAGAUUAAAACUCAAAGGAAUUGACGGGGACCCGCACAAGCGGUGGAUGAUGUGGAUUAAUUCGAUGCAACGCGAAGAACCUUACCUGGUCUUGACAUGUACGGAACCCUCCAGAGACGGAGGAGUGCCUUCGGGAGCCGUAACACAGGUGCUGCAUGGCUGUCGUCAGCUCGUGUCGUGAGAUGUUGGGUUAAGUCCCGCAACGAGCGCAACCCUUGUCAUUAGUUGCCAUCAUUAAGUUGGGCACUCUAAUGAGGCUGCCGGUGACAGGCCGGAGGAAGGUGGGGAUGACGUCAAGUCCUCAUGGUCCUUAUGACCAGGGCUUCACACGUCAUACAAUGGUCGGUACAGAGGGUAGCCAAGCCGCGAGGCGGAGCCAAUCUCACAAAACUGAUCGUAGUCCGGAUUGCACUCUGCAACUCGAGUGCAUGAAGUCGGAAUCGCUAGUAAUCGCAGGUCAGCAUACUGCGGUGAAUACGUUCCCGGGUCUUGUACACACCGCC
rnacentral:rRNA from 1 species